rnacentral:rRNA from 1 species
GAUGAACGCUGGCGGCGUGCCUAAUACAUGCCAGUCGAGCGAACGGACGAGAAGCUUGCUUCUCUGAUGUUAGCGGCGGACGGGUGAGUAACACGUGGAUAACCUACCUAUAAGACUGGGAUAACUUCGGGAAACCGUAGCUAAUACCGGAUAAUAUUUUGAACCGCAUGGUUCAAAAGUGAAAGACGGUCUUGCUGUCACUUAUAGAUGGAUCCGCGCUGCAUUAGCUAGUUGGUAAGGUAACGGCUUACCAAGGCAACGAUGCAUAGCCGACCUGAGAGGGUGAUCGGCCACACUGGAACUGAGACACGGUCCAGACUCCUACGGGAGGCAGCAGUAGGGAAUCUUCCGCAAUGGGCGAAAGCCUGACGGAGCAACGCCGCGUGAGUGAUGAAGGUCUUCGGAUCGUAAAACUCUGUUAUUAGGGAAGAACAUAUGUGUAAGUAACUGUGCACAUCUUGACGGUACCUAAUCAGAAAGCCACGGCUGACUACGUG